rnacentral:misc_RNA from 1 species
GGUGGGGGUUGCUAAGGUUGUGUGGAAAAAGGCCUCAGCUGAAAGAAGAACAGAAAAAUCAAAAUUUUCCUCAAUUAUUGUAUUUAGUGGACGGUGACUUUCCUAACACAAAAUUGUACAGACACAAGGUUCUAAAAGGAUGACACUGACGAGGUGCAACAUAGGCUCAGUCUCCUCGGAAUAGAAAGAAAUUGUCGUUUUUAGGCGUGGAAAACCCAGAUAUGAGUUGCUGGGAAAAAAAUAUCGUUGAAUAGUAAUGCUACAAAAUUAAUGUUCACACGUCAAGAUGAUGUAACUGUCAUCUCAAGAAGAGAAAACGCAAGCAAGCUGUGUAAAUUUCUCCUCUCUUGCGUUUCUUAGACAGAAAAGAGACUAUGAAAAAUAAUUAUCAUUUAGC